rnacentral:rRNA from 1 species
CCUCUAGCACAAAGUAUUAAAGGUAACGCCUGCCCAGUGAUAAAUUAAACGGCCGCGGGAUCCUCACCGUGCAAAGGUAGCAUAAUCACUUGUCCCCUAAAUAGUGACUAGUAUGAACGGCCAAAUGAAGAUUUUACUGUCUCUUAUAGCCAAUCUAUGAAACUAAACUAUCAGUACAAAAGCUGAUAUAUUAACAUAAGACGAAAAGACCCUGUGGAACUUUAAGCAUAACCCACCACAAUGGACCACCUGCUUUUAGUUGGGGCAACUUUGGAAAAAAACAAAACUUCCAAUAAAAUUAAAGAUUAACACAUCUAUAUUAUACUAUACGACCCAACAUAUGUUGAUCAAAGAACCAAGCUACCCCAGGGAUAACAGCGCCAUCCCCUCUUAGAGCCCAAAUCGACGAGCGGGGUUUACGACCUCGAUGUUGGAUCAGGGCCCCCAAACAGUGCAACAGCUGUUAAUGGUUUGUUUGUUCAACAAUUAAAGCCCUACGUGAUCUGAGUUAAGACCGGAGCAAUCCAG